GCGCGAAAACUUUACAAUGCGGGCAACCGUGAUAAGGGAACCUCGAGUGCCUGUACAUGCAGGCUGUCUGGGUGUCUAAAACACACCCAAAGAAAGGGCCGGGCAAGACCGGUGCCAGCCGCCGCGGUAAUACCGGCGGCUCGAGUGGUGGCCACUUUUAUUGGGCUUAAAGCGUUCGUAGCUGGGUUGUUAAGUCUCUUGGGAAAUCUGGCAGCUUAACUGUCAGGCGUCUAAGAGAUACUGGCAAUCUAGGAACCGGGAGAGGUGAGGGGUACUUCGGGGGUAGGA
rnacentral:rRNA from 1 species